AGAGUUUGAUCAUGGCUCAGAACGAACGCUGGCGGCGUGCCUCAUACAUGCAAGUCGAGCGAGAAAGCCCCGCAAGGGGUGAGUAAAGCGGCGCACGGGUGAGUAACACGUGGGUAAUCUGCCCUCGAGACUGGGAUAACCCGGGGAAACCCGAGCUAAUACCAGAUACGGCCGUGAGGUCUUCGGGCCUCGCGGAGAAAGACGGCGCUCCUUCGGGAGCUUUCACUCGAGGAUGAGCCUGCGUCCCAUUAGCUAGUUGGUGAGAUAACGGCCCACCAAGGCAAAGAUGGGUAGCUGGUCUGAGAGGAUGGCCAGCCACACUGGAACUGAGAUACGGUCCAGACUCCUACGGGAGGCAGCAGUAGGGAAUUUUGGGCAAUGGGCGAAAGCCUGACCCAGCAACGCCGCGUGUGGGAUGAAGGCCCUCGGGUCGUAAACCACUGUCAGGAGGAAAGAACGGUCGGCCGGAUAAUACUCGGUCGAUUUGACGGUACCUCCAAAGGAAGCGCCGGCUAACUCCGUGCCAGCAGCCGCGGUAAUACGGAGGGCGCAAGCGUUGUUCGGAAUUACUGGGCGUAAAGCGCAUGCAGGUGGCUGAGUAAGUCGAAUGUGAAAGCCCCGGGCUCAACUCGGGAACUGCAUCCGAAACUACUUGGCUAGAGUCCCGGAGAGGAAGGCAGAAUUCCCAAUGUAGGGGCGAAAUCCGUAGAUAUUGGGAGGAAUACCGGUGGCGAAGGCGGCCUUCUGGACGGUGACUGACACUCAGAUGCGAAAGCGUGGGGAGCAAACAGGAUUAGAUACCCUAGUAGUCC
rnacentral:rRNA from 1 species